CAGGUCAACAGCACAUGAGGUACAGAAGGUCGGAGGGACUCGUUGAGCGAUGUGGUCCUUUUGUGGAAUGGAUAGAUCUAAAGAUAAAAGACAAGUUUAAAAUGCCGGUGACUCAGCCGGGGUGUUGUCAAAUAAAUUGGGACGACACCUCUUUGGUCCCAGCAGAUGCUACGUGCUUCGUUAUGGCGAGCUCCGGUGAAGCUCUUCCUGUGCUGUGACUAAUUAUGACCCAGACUCAGAGUGUCUCCUCAGCUCCGGCCAGGAUAAACUCUAACCUCUGUGACAUCACGGCCAAAUCCCUUCACCGCACUGCAAAAACUACCUGCAAAGAGCCCAAAGCAAUUACUUGGAUUCCAACCUCCCCAGAUUCCAAUCUGCAGAAUGUGCCGAAACAAGCCUGAUCCAUGGAGCAUCCACCCAGCAACCUACAGGACCCAAAGGAUCUGCUGAAAGGAACAUUCCAGAGCCACAUAUCAAAGGACACCUCACCUCGAAGGGCCCUGUGUCGACACCACAAGGCCUCAGAGACGUUUUCAGAACCUGAAUCUGAUUUUGUUUCGCCAAGCAUGUUGCACAAACAAGGAAUUCUGUUCCAGCUGUUGGUGUGCACAAAGAUCUGGUGACAGAAGUGAAGCCUGGGAGAUAUUCAACCCACCUAAAAAGGUUGAUUUGUGGUCCACUACUCUCAGGCUUGAAAUGGGAUGUUCUUCUGUAAUAACCUGCCCACCACAAGAUGACGCAGGAUGAAAAAAAAAGAACUGGGUCUGCACAAAUGAGAUUUUCUCUGAUCCACUGAGUCAAAAUGAUACAUUUGCACUGUAACCAUUAAGUUAAGACAUGGCUGAUAAUAAAAUGAUAUUGUUGUUGGCACUAGGCAGAAAAUGUUAUCCAUCUUGACCACCAUUAAUCGUGUUAAUUUGUGUCUAAAAAGUAAAUAAAAGUCCCAGACUGAAGCAAUGUUAGACUUCUUAAUUUGCCAUUUCUCACAUUCAAAUGAUAGUGAGGAUCAAGCAUUUUGCUAAUUAUCACAUCAAGUUUGAAAUGCUUGUAUAGGGAUAAUCACAUUCAGUUAUAUGUAAAGAAUAUAGGUUCUACUUCUUUUUAAAUAAAAAUCAUGAGAGGGAGGGCAUCACCUCUGUCACACCAAACUUCUCACAAGAAAGUGAAAAAAUUGUUUUAACAAAAGUCUACAAUUGUAGCAUCUUAUGUUGUGGCGCAUUAACCUAUGCAAAGGAGGUUGUGUGCUUAGUAGCAUUUGCAUGCAUGCAUGUCCUGCUGUCUGUAAACCUAAUAUCUUGACAUUUUGAAUAAAUUCUCAUAUCAUUUUGUAGGGGUGCAUAGUGGGAUCAUGUUAACAAUCCAUAUAAACUUGGUUUACAUCCAUUAAGGACUUCAAGGCCAACUUAAUGAUUUACUUAAACUAUAUUUCAAGGAUAUCAACAGGACCUGGAAAAACUAGUCCAUGCAUUCAUUUUUAGUAGGCUUGAUUAUUGUAACAGCAUCUUUACAGGUCUAGCUAAAAAAAUCAGUCAGACAACUACAGCUCAUUCAGAACUCUGCUGCUCGAGUCCUCACUAAGACCAAAGAAGUGGACCACAUCGGUCCAGCUCUGAGGUCUUUACACUGGCUGCCUGUCCGUCAGAGGAUAGACUUUAAAGUUCUGAUGCUGGUCUAUAAAGCUCUGAAUGGUUUAGGACCAAAAUACAUCAGUGACCUCCUGACCCAGUAUGAACCUUCCAGAUCCCUCAGGCCAUCUGGAUCCGUUUUUUUAUUAGUUCCCAGAGUCAGAACCAGACAGCUGCAUUCAGCUUUUAUGCUCCUUAUAUCUGGAACAAACUCCCAGAAAGCCUCAGAUCAGCUGAAAAAUUCAGUUUAUUUAAAUCCAGGUUGAAGACUCACCUGUUCUCAGCUGCAUUGUGCUUUAUUCAAAUGCAAAUCCGCACUGUUUUACUUUUAAGCUUAAAUUUCAAAACUUACAUUUUAACUACUGAUUUUAUCUACUGUUCCUUUCUUUUUUUUUUUUCAUUUUAAAUGCUUUUUAUUUGCGUUUAUUUUUUAAUGUCUCUGUAAAGCUUGUUGUUGAAUUGUGCUAUAUAAAUAAA
ensembl:lncRNA